rnacentral:rRNA from 1 species
GAGCGAAACGGGAACAGCCCAAACCAAGAGGCUUGCCUCUUGGGGUUGUAGGACACUCUGUACGGAGUUACAAAAGAACGAGGUAGAUGAAGAGGUCUGGAAAGGCCCGCCAUAGGAGGUAACAGCCCUGUAGUCAAAACUUCGUUCUCUCCUGAGUGGAUCCUGAGUACGGCGGAACACGUGAAAUUCCGUCGGAAUCCGGGAGGACCAUCUCCCAAGGCUAAAUACUCCCUAGUGACCGAUAGUGAACCAGUACCGU